AUAGGGCUAGUCGGUGGAACAAGAGGGUGUUUUUGUAAUUUCGCAUUUUUGGCAUAUAUUUUUUUGCAAGUGCUUGCUCUUAAUAAAAUUACAUCUAAGCUACGAUUGAAUCCAACCUUUCAUUGCUUUUUCAAUGCCAAGAACGUGAAAGAAAAGUUAAGAAUAAUGGCUAGUUCUUCCGUGGAUGCAAUCUCGGUAUUGGUAUAUGUAAUUCUAAGAAAGAGCAUAUAUGUAUAUAAGGAAUUUGCAGUAUUGAUGGUGGACUUCCUUCCAGUUAUGGUGUCAACAAUCCGAUUUUCCCGUUUCUUUUUCAGGCCAACUACGGUGGUUUCAGCCAGGUACUCUCCCAUGUCAUCCAUGGUGGCUCGACAUGAUCGGUAGUGCUAUACAAAAAGGAAAAAAAAAAAAAAAAAAAAUACCAUUGUGGUUUAUCAGUAUAGUUAUAUCAUGCUAGCAAUACCUGAGACUGAGAGUUUACUAAUUUGGAGGAACUUAGAUAUGCAUGGCGGGACUUGUUAACUCUUUUAUUUCUCAAACAUGGAUUUUGAAUCUGAAAUGUCUACCAUCAGUAUCUGUAGUUUCCAUGUCAGUUCUUGGCCAAGUUGUUUGCUCCCCGUAUAGCUGCAUGCAUUAUCAAAGAGGGUGGACAUGAAUAAUUUUUGUUUGGAAAGUUAGGACCACAUUUUACUCUAAAAUGCUUACAGGAUUGUGAUUAGUGUUAUAUCAACAAUAUAGUAAAUGAACUUUAAUUGAUUUCUUGUUUUGUGUGAAGUGUAACAUUUAUUGUAAGUUUGUUACGAACGCUGGUGUUGAAGUUGAACUACAUUAGCGUAGCAUUUUGAUCUA